ensembl:lncRNA
ACUAUUGUGUGUUUUUCAGAGACGUUCAUGCGUGGUUUAUUUAGAUCUACUUUCAUGUAAAAGAAAAUAAGAUGAGCUCCAAGGGCAGUUUGUCAGGUUGAGGCCACAUGCCACAGCUUUCAGGUGCUGUUCCUGAUUUAUGGCUACUCAAUGUCAAUUCCCCUGCAAUGUCUUGUGUAUAAAAGGCACAUCCUCUGUUAUGACAGGGUCCUGACAUAGAAACUGAUGUGAUUACAAUUAGAGGGCACAUCACAGUCAAAGAGACAGAAGGUGGCAUGAACUGAAUCCACACUAUGCAGUGAAGGAUGUUAGAAACAUUUCUCUGCUGAGGACACUUUAGCAAAGGUGAAAUGUGAGCUGUCAGAUACGCGGAUGCCAGGAGGAAAUGUACUUUAUGUAGGUUCAUUCAGAGACCGUAAUCCUUACACUGUUUGACAUGUUCUUUUCCCCUCUGCUACUUAAAAUAUUUUUCAGAU